GCGGCGGCGGAACCGCCGAGGGGGCCCGGGCCGAGCCGCGAAGCGCCGCGGGGCCCGCGGAAGCGCUCCGCGGCCGCGGGAACCCUCUUCCCUCCGCCCUGCGGGACCCGGCGGCGCAGGUGGGACGGGGCGGACGGGGGCGGAGCGGCCCGCGGCGGCGGUGCGCGGGGAGAGGCGCGGGGCAGAGGGAGAAACGGGAUCUUUCCUCUAAAACCGCCCCCCCCCCCCCCCCGCCCAAAGCCGGGGGCGAUUCCGAGACUGCUUUUAACGGGGAGGCUGCCGCGAUGCCCCGAUGGGGCCGGCCGCGCCGAGGAGCCGUCCGGGACACCGCCGCGGUCCAGCUCUUACUCCGGAGGCUUCUGCCCGGGCUGCUCGGCAGGGGCAUGUGAGCGUACGGCGGGUCCCGCCUCCCCUUUGCCCCCGGAGCGGUUCAAAACGCAGCUGUAGCCCCAGCCCCGCCGCCGCCACGGCCCCGCCACGCCUAGGAGCCUCUUGCUGGCAAUAGCUGCCUCCUAAGCUGGGUCCUUCCCAGCGCAGCCUGCGGAGCCUCUAGCGCAGUCUCAAUACGCGCUGCACAAAGGUGCAGAAAAAAACAUGUCGGAAGACAGCGUCGUACGCGUAUUUCGCGUGAAACACUGCACUGACGUUGUAUAGAAGAGACUUUUACAAACACUGGCCGCAUAUCUUAAGCUCAGCCUCUGGGAUUAUUCCAGUUUCGUUUUGUUUUGAAAACUUGAAACGAAGCUGGCUAGAACCGCUCCGGAAAUUUCCUUAGCUGUGUAAAUCUAGUUUCUAGUAUUCCUGCAGGCACCACACGUUGCAACGCGAUCACGCGUCUGUGGACGGGGCACGCUGACCCUGCGGACAGUGCUAGCCGCCCACCCGGAGUGCUCUGUGGGGAAGACUGCUGCACCCGCACGUUUCUGCUCGUGAGGGUCCGCGAAGGUGAGCGAAGGUGAGCGAAGAAAUUCGGUGCGUGAGAAACUCGGGAAGAAAGGUGUAUAAAGCAGAAGACAAGACAUCUCAUCAGCUGAUUGCAGAGAGAGUUUUGCUAGCUGAGAAUUCAGUGAAUGUUUCUGGAUUUUUCACUUGGUGGCUGAGGAGAGAGAGCAGGCUGCACCUGCCCUACCUUUGAAUAAGAAAUGUGGCAGGAAGGCCAAAGCAUUUUUUUAAAGCUGACCUGCAAAUAGUUUGAAUUAAAUUAGUUUUGUCCUGCUUUUGUAAAGUCCAUGGCUUUAUAAGAAGAGAAGCACCAGGAGUUUUCUUUCCCUCUAGCCCACUUACCUUUGUAGAUCACCUUGAAAAUUAAUCAUUAGGACUACCAAACCUGAUCUUCCCAAGCUGGCUGGCAGACUACUGAGAAUGCAAAGAUCUGUAGACUGUUAGUCCAGACCACAAACUGCACUCAAAGUGGGGAGAAAUUAGAGGUUUGGCACUCCGCACGGAUCACAUCUACGAACAAAAGAUGUUCGAGCGAUUUGUGUUGCUGAACAGCUGAUCAGUGGCAUCCUGUCUCAGGGUGACAGCCAAGAAGACCCCUGCUCUACGUGCUGUAUAAAUAAGGCCUUUAAUAAUAAAUACAAUAUGUCUGCUUACCUUUUUUCCUCUUCCUCGUUACCCCGAAAACAUUUUUAACAGCUGUAUUCAAGCACCAGGAAUAAGAAUCAAGAUCUGCAAACACAGAGAUAGGAGGACUGUGGUGAAAUGGUUAAAAUGGCUGCUGUGAGACAACAGCUCGCUGUAGUACUGAAAUACGUUGUGUAGUGAAUUUGCACUAAUCUGUGCAUAACACCUGAAAGCAAUGAGGUAGCACUUUUUAUGGGAUUAGAAGCAGAAUCGAAAUAUUCUCUGUGGCUCCUGACUGCGGAGGCUGUGGAGACAGGAGGUGAGUGCAGCAGACACGGAAGCGCACAGCCUGCUCCAGCCCAAGAGGACACGUGACUGCUGCUGGCGGGGCUGAUGGGUGCAUCAUCUCUCCCCUCCUGGGAGAGAGGGCAGACUACGUGGUGGCAGAAUUAGGCUUCUCCGUGCUCGCCAAACAGUUAUUAAUAUUAAAAUUUCAAUUUUUUA